ensembl:lncRNA LOXL1-AS1 LOXL1 antisense RNA 1
GGCCCGGGGGGCCCGGAGCAGUUUCCAGUGGCCAGGGGUACGCGCGGCCGGAGGGGCGCCGGGGCCGUACUCACCGCGGCCGUUCUGGUUGGGCCGGUACACGCUGCCCACGCUGAGGCGGCCCUGCUGCGCGCCGUUCCGCUCCCCACCCGGCGGGGGCGUGUCGGAGCUGCGCACCGGCAGGAGCUCCUGCCUGCCUGGAUGAAGAGGAGGUCAAGACUUUGUCCCCCACUCCGCAAGAUACCCUCUCUGUUCCGGAGCGGUGAGACAGGAUUUCACCAUGUUAGCCAGGAUGGUCUUGAUCUCCUGACCUCAUGAUCUGCCCACCUCGGCCUCCCAAAGUGCUGGGCUUACAGGCGUGAGCCACCGUGCCCGGCCAAAAAUAACUUUUAAAAACAUGAGUAUAGCAUACACACACACAAAAGUCCACAAAUCCUAGGUGUACCACUUGAUGAAUGAUCCCAACGUGAGCACACCUCUGGAUUACCACCUGGAUCAAGAAAUAGGACAUCACAGCAGCUGGCAGCUUCCAAGGAGAAGCUCUGGAAAGUUCUGCCUGUCUCAGCACCUGGCUGGAUCGGAAACGAGUUUUCUUUAACCAGAUUUUUAAUGACUGACUUAUGUGGACAAAUCAUAACUGAAUGAAUCACCUCCUUUGUUGAUUUUUUUGGGUACUUUAUUUGCUAUUAUAAAUGAUGCUGUAAUAAGCACCCUUGAAGAAAUCUUCAUAUCUGCCUCUCCUGUGUAGCAGGUCACAGUGCCUGGGUUUGGUUCUAGCCCUCAUUUGUGAACUGUGUGACUCACCAUGCCUUUUUUCUUUCUGUAAGACAGGAAUAAUGGUAAGAAUUUAAAUGGGGGUAAUAUGGAGCGCGUUUAGUUCAGAGC